AAAGUGAAUAUUUUGUUUCAGCGCCAUCUAGAAUACAUUCCGAGAGUUAACUUUUAUUGCUCAAAGGAAGCUAUUGAGUGAAGAUUUCCUUCUCGCUUUUUUAAUUUCAGUGCCUAUAAUUUAUGGAAAUGGUAUUGUGACUUAACUAAAGAAUCAGCACACUGUUUGCUAAGAGUUUAUUUAAAGCCUUACGAAGUGCCAGCAGUUAAACAAAGUAACUUGCCAAGAUUUUGUGGGUGGCCUAUUACAAAAAAAUAGGAACCAUUCUCUGAUUGGUGCACAUCUGUUUUGAAGCAAAGCAGGGGGAACGAAGCGGGAGGAAGACAGGCCAUUAUUCACAGAAGGGGAUCCACAUUUCUUUUCAGCCCUCUUCAGCCAAUAGAAGACCAUUUCAGCUCCAGUCCUUGAAUUCGGAAUGAGAUAGAGAAAGGGAAUAUAUUUCAGCCCUUCCAGAUUUGAUUGCUGUAGAGAAUAUACGUUAAAGAAACCAAUAUGCAGCCAUCUUGGAACAUGGAGUUGAGUUAGUCGUUCGUCAAGUCUGUGUUCGUAUGUUGCCACCACACCUGAGCCCGACACGAAAUUUAAUUACAGAACAUCGAUUUCUCAUUCGGGGGAGUCUCUGGUGACGUCAUUA